ensembl:misc_RNA
UUUUUAGCUUCAGAUCCAGGUCAGAGGUUGACACAAAAACUUAAAUUCUGUGAUUGGUCAUAUGUGUGUGAUUCAUGGAGGUCCAGUUCAUGAACACAUGAAAGGAUAAUUUUCUAAUUAAUGUCAGCUUUGAGUUUAGGAUAUAUCCCAGACAUUUUAGUUGUCCUUACUUAUUUUGGAGACAUUUCUCUCAGCCAUUAAUGAAGAAAU